rnacentral:rRNA from 1 species
GUUCUCGCCGAAAUAGCUGUAGGGCUAGCCUCGAGGUAAAGAGUCAUGGAGGUAGAGCACUGUUUGGACUAGGGGCCCUUCUCGGGUUACCGAAUUCAGAUAAACUCCGAAUGCCAUGUACUUAUACGCGGGAGUCAGACUGCGAGUGAUAAGAUCCGUAGUCGAAAGGGAAACAGCCCAGACCACCAGUUAAGGUCCCCAAAUAUAUGUUAAGUGGAAAAGGAUGUGGGGUUGCUUAGACAACCAGGAUGUUGG